CAAAUACUCCUUCCGUCCGGAAAUACUCGUCGAAGGAAUGGAUGUAUCUAGAUGUAUUUUAGUUCUACAUACAUUCAUUUUUAUGCAUUUCUUCGAUAAGUAUUUUCGGAUGGAGGGAGUACAUU
rnacentral:pre_miRNA from 1 species